UACAGAGGGUGCAAGCGUUAAUCGGAAUUACUGGGCGUAAAGCGUGCGUAGACGGUAGCGUAAGUCGGGUGUGAAAGCCCCGGGCUCAACCUGGGAAUUGCAUUCGAGACUGCUCUGCUAGGGUGCGGAAGAGGGAAGCGGAAUUUCCGGUGUAGCGGUGAAAUGCGUAGAUAUCUGGAGGAAUACCGGUGGCGAAGGCGGCAUCCUGGACCGACAUUGACGCUGAACGGCGAAAGCUAGGGGAGCAAACGGG
rnacentral:rRNA from 1 species